AUUUGGUAUAGAAUUAAUACCUUGAAGUAUAAUUGUUGGUUGACUGUUGUUGCUGAGUUGAAUGAAUUGGAACUGAAAAUUGGUAUUGUUGUUUCAGUAAUUGCAGGUUAAAUCAUGGAAGAAGAUGGAGAAGUUUAAGCCAAAGCUUACCUCCUUUGAAGUUGGCAGUAGUAAAUGAAGUCUUUCUUCGAUAAUUGCAGGAUGGUGGAGAUGAUGAUUAAUAGAGGAUUGGCAAAGUAUAGUGGUGGGCAAAAUAUAGUGGUGGGCAAAGUAGUGGGGAGCAAAGUAGUGGAAGAUAAAAAAAAUAAUAAUAAUGUAGUGUAGGAUUAAUGAUGUAUUUUCUAUAUCUCGGUGAUUCUGUAACUGUAAUAAAAUACGGGCUUCGAUUCUGCUUGAUACUGUAUUUACAUAAAUCUCGAUUUCGACAUGUGAUAUCUCUCUAAAAUCGAUAAGUUAUAAAAUGAAUCUAAAUUAAAUCCGUAGAUUUAAUUCGUUUGUUUUUCUAAUAUUUAAAUUAAAUCCGCAGAUUUAAUUAACUCACGAGUCAGAAAUAAUCCACGACUUGAGUAAAAUAAAAUCUAAUUCCAUCUCGCUUAAAAAUAAUAACGUGACUUUGCUAAGUCAGUUAUAACUCUGAAAUAAUAUCAUUGACUACUUUAAUAAUAUGAAUUCAGGAUCAUAAGCUGAAUUCAUAUCAGGAUAAUAACCGUUUUCAUUCACUGAUGAACAAAAAUAAACACUCAUUACUGGAUUUAAAAUAUAUAAAAGAGCGGGUCACUACAUGGACUCAGCGGACUGAUACUAAAGUCAAGUAUCAGUUAAACAUUCUUCCUCGGACUGAACUUCCAACGUUCAAAGGAAGCCACGUACUCACAAAAGUACAGCCGCAUUAAAUGCAGAGAUCUCAGGAUCUCCUUAUCUCUGCAGAGGUCAUUCCUAUUUGGUGGCUACUUUAUCAGAGACGUCACAUCUCCUGCCCCUCAAGAGAGUCGUUUCCACCAAACAAGGAACCUCGAAGAUUGAAGCCUCAGCCCAAAUUCGAAUUGCUCUCCAACGGAAGAAAUCUUGAGGACGUUUUACGCCAACGAAUCUAUUCAAGAUUUCUCCUACAAAUAGCGCUCGAGGAUCACUUCAAUCUUCACCGAUUCAACGACAUAAGCUGAAGCUCUGCCAAAAUCGCUACUCAGCCUAAAGCUUAACCUCCCCAAAGCUUGAAUCGAAGAAGAGAAUUCCAAAGCCAAAAUCAGUCACUGCUGAUUACAUACAUUCUCUUAGACCUUAGGCAAACCUCUGUUUACCCAGAAGCCAAGGUCAAACUUGCUCCAAAGAACUUGUUCUUUGCAGUAUAGUUGGCACCCGUUCAAACCUCCUUUCAGGAAGAAAGAUUAGAGUGUUUGAGUGAUUCGGAGUUCAGGAAGGUACUCUGACUCUGAGAGUCUUAGCGCGGGUUGUGCUAAGCAAGAGAAAUCCGACACAAGUGAAGUGUGGGUACUGAAGAAGUGGUUUCUUCAGUGGUACGGUUGUGUGCACCCGGCAAGCACACGGUUUGGUUUGCAGUGCACCUGUUAAGCACUUGCGGAGUGGAUUGUUGGUCUGAUCAACCGACCGUGGAUGUAGGAAAGGGUUUUUCCGAACCACGUAAAAGUCUCUGUGUUGUUUACAGCUUUCUGUUUUACUUUCCUACUUGUGUUGUUUCAAUUGAUAAACUGAAUACUGAAUAACUGCAAAGAGAAACCUAAGACCAACAACGUGCUCAACCGAGGCUAUUGCGAAACUAAGUUUAAUUUCCGCUGCGUAUGAUAUCAGUCUGACUGAUCUAUCUUCUGAUAGUCAAGAAGAAUGUUAUCAUCUCUGUUUUAGCAAACUCGACUGAAGCCCUUACGUGCAUUAGUUAAGUUCCAGUAACUUAACUGAUAGCUCCUUACUGAAGAGCUUUCAGUAUCAGUCGUCAACCCUGUUUGGUCAAAACUGUUUUCAGUUAACAGGCGUCACUGUUUGCGUGUAAAGUUUCGUUUUGAUCUCUAUCUUGAGAUCCCUCAGUUUGAGGAAGAAGAAAAAUAGCCCAUAGGUGUAUUCCCCCCCCUCCAUACACCUAUUCGAGACCCUCCGAACCUAACAAUUGGUAUCAGAGCAGGUUGUUCGCAAGAACACUCUGUAUCUGAUUAGGUUCUAAUUGAACUAGAUCCUUUUUCUCAAAGGUCUCGAAAAAGUUUUCUCUUUCAAAUUGUGCUUGCUAUUUGUUCUAUCUGUUGUCAUCUAUUCUCUCUUUUUGAUGGAGACUAACCACAACAGAUUAUCUUCUCUACCUAUGUUUAGUAUUGAAAAAUACAGCAUAUGGAAGUUUCGGCUUGAAAGCUUCCUCACCGCCCAACAUUGCCGAAUGUGGAAAGUCAUCACCAACGGACCAAUCACCAUCACCGAAACUGUCAAAAGGGUUCCUGUUGAUCCACGACAGGAUCCUUACGAUGAGGUCCAGUCUAAGCAAAAGGCAGACUUCUCCACCGAAGAAAGAAAGCAAGAUGAGCUUGACAACCUCGCCAAAAGCAUCAUCUCUGGCACCGUUCCCGACAAGCAUGUCAUGAAGAUCAUCAAGUGCGGAACUGCAAAGGAGAUGUGGGACAUUCUUGAAAGAAUGUGCGUAGGUUCCGAGGAAAUCAAGGAGAAUAAGCUAUCCAUAGCUUGCCAGAAGUUCGACUCCUUCCUCAUGCUCAAGAAUAAAUCUGUCGAAGAAAUAGAACUCAGAUUCAAUCAAAUCCUGAAUGAAGUUCAAUCCAUUUCUAAAGACAAAUACACUCAACGAGAAAUCAACCUGAAGAUUCUUCGAGCACUGCCACGAGGAGAAUGGCAGAUCUACUCAGUCGCUCAUCAACAUAAGCCUGGAUUCAGUCAGCUCCCGACAAACAAGCUUUUCUCUGAUCUCAUGGCAAAUGAGUUCGAUCUUCAGAGAAAUCUUGGAAUUAAGAAGGCUGGAGGAUCAGACGAAGAUGGUCCAUCAACCUCAAGAGGAGCAACACUGAAAGCUUCAGCAAGAGAAGGCAAGAAGCAAAUCAAGGAACCAGCGGAACUCAACCCUGAGGACUUCUUCAGUCAAUAUGCUUUGUUAACUGAAAGAUUCAACAAGAUGGAGUCCAAAUUCUGGAAGUACAGAAGGUUCCACAAGCAGCACUACAAAGGAAAAGAAAGAGAAAGCAACUCCAGACAUUCCACUGAUCGAAGCGGAGAAAGGAAGUCAGCCGCUUACGACAUCAAAGACAUGGAAUGCUUUGGAUGCAGAAAGAAAUGACACUUUCGAUAUGAAUGCCCUGAUCUGACUCCAGCUGAGCGCAGAGAACUGAAAGAUAAGAAAGAUCGUGAUAAGAAAAUGAACAAGCAGAAUCAGAAAAUGAACAAGGAGAUCAAUGAUGAACGAGCUAAGAAUCAGACAAUCAUCUACUUUCCGGAUGAAACUUGUCUUGAUCAGCUAAUCAUGGAGAACAACCGACUGGAAGAAGAGCUCAGAAUCUCCAACUCAGAAUGUGAAAGAGCAUCUCAUGAAAUCAAAANAUUUUCUAAUGCUUUCAGGAGACCUCUCAGAAUCAGAAGAAAGCUCAUCCGAUGAAUUUGACCAGCUUUAUCAGCUCAUGACUGAUCACUGUCAGUUGAGGAAAAUGUUCGCAGAUCUCCUCAAGCAGAAUCAGAAAUUAAAAGGAGAUCAAUGAUGAACGAGCUAAGAAUCAGACAAUCAGCUACUUUCCGGAUGAAACUUGUCUUGAUCAGCUAAUCAUGGAGAACAGUCGACUGGAAGAAAAGCUCAGAAUACUCCAACUUGGAAUGUGAUAGAGCAUACUCAUGAGAUCAAGAGGCUCAAUCACAAGCUGGAAGAACAGUCAAGAACUGCAUGAUGAAGUCACCAUUGAUGAGCAACUUUCCAUCAAAAGGCCUUGUUAAAAGCAUUGGAGGAAAAGUUGCAGCUGACAAAGGAAAGAAUAUCAUUAUCAUUUCAAAGGACGAUACUUCUGAAAUCACAACAUCAGAAGAAUCAAGAGAUCAUGAUAUGGAUGAAGUUCGCAAACGGAAACUGAUGGCAAGAUCAAAUGUUCCACCUCCAUCGAGCUACAGACGAGCAAAGGAGGCCCCUAACCAGAUCACCCUACUGAGAAGACUGGAAAGCAGAUUUCAGUCAAAGAUCAGGGAAGGAACAUCAGAAAUCAAGAAGAAUCUUCCUCACCAGACCAGGGGGAAGAACGGCCACAUCAGUCAGAAACUGAAAUCAAAGUGAUACAGAGUACUCGAGUUAGUAUAUAACUUUCACCCAUAGUAAGUCAAAGUGAUAUACGAAUUAAUAUAUAUAUCUGAAUACUUAUUAGUAUUAAGAUUUAUAAGUCACCGAGAUCUUGAUUCUUCACUUAAGUCAGAUAGAAGAAUACAUCUCAAACUGUGGUCCUAUCAAUACGUAAUGACGUACCAGUAUAGACAAGUAGCCAAGACAAACUACUUCCAUCUAUACUGCAACAUAAACCAAUAACUUGUCCUAGAGUUAUUUCGGCUGUGAUCAUAUUAUAUCUCUUAAGGUUAUUCCAAUUAUAUGGUCUUCUGUGAUCUACAACACACCAUAUAAUCUACUUGUAUAGAGAUAAAGAACAUACAUAUGCAAUCAUGAACACAAUCAGAUAGGAGAUUAGAUAGUGAACUUAGGAAACAUUGUAUACAAGCAUAAAACGUUCUUGCUUUCAGUAUACAAAUCCAACAGUCACCAUAUCGAAUGGUGUAUGGCAAGAGGUGUCAUUUGCCGGUGGAAUUGGAGCACAAGGCCUUCUGGGCAGUGAACAAAGUGAACUAUGAUUGGGACAAGGCAGGGCAAGCAAGGAAGCUAGAGAUCCAAGAGCUCGAAGAAAUCAGGAGGGAGGCAUAUGACAAUGCUGUUCUCUACAAGGAAAGAAUGAAAAAGAGCCAUGAUGCCUUGAUCACAAGCAAGCAAUUCAGCUUUGGGCAAGAGGUUCUCCUAUACCAAACACGGUUCAAAUUUGCACAAGGCAAGCUGAGUACAAAGUGGACCGGCCCAUUCGUGGUGAAGACCCAAUUCCCAAAUGGAGCCGUGGAGAUUGGGAAUCCAAAAUCAGGGAAAGUGUUCAAGGUUAAUGGACAAAGGCUGAAAGCCUAUUAUGGGCAUAAGCCCGACGCUGGGGAAGAACUGGAUCUCGACCCAGCCACAAGCACCUUGGAUUAAUUGGAAGGUAUCACGUCAUGCCCAGGACGAUAAAUAGGGCACUGGCCAGGAGGUAACCUGGUAUUUCCGUUUAGGUUUUUUUUUCUUUUAGUUUGUUUCGUUUUUCGUUUUUUGUUUGCCUAGGAACCCGGUUAUGCCCACAGCUGUGGGCGAGUUUGAGUUUCCCGCCUUCGCGGAAGUUUGAAUGUGUUUUGCAGAUACAGGGGGAGCAGUUAUGGGCAAAGAGCAGUCGAUUGGAGAAGCAUUGAUUCCAGGGCAGAAGGGGGCUCUCGGGCAAAAUGCGGCUGAAACCGCCUGACGCACGUCACAUCAAGUGACAGUUGUCAGCCCCUACACCCCCAAAAACCCUAAAACCUCUACCCACGACGUCACUACCCUAACUAUCCAACUUCCCAUAAUCACCACCCCCUUUCUCGGCCUUUCGAAUACAAAACCACCACCCAGCCACCAUGGUCUCCACCAGACCCAAAAACAAACUCCGAGGCAUACCCCAAGGAACAGAAAUCGAUCUCACCGGAGAAAGCCCCUCACCGUCAAAACCAAAAGCUUCGAAAAAGAACCCACGCCAAAAACCACUUCCGAUGGACACUACACCUACCCCCUCAUCCAAAACCCUACCGCAAACCGAGAGCCCCUCGCCGGUGGACGAACAUGCCAUUGAGCAACUCACGGCGGAGAUAGACGUCCCUACUCUCGGCGCCGGAGACCAGCAUGCAGCUGAAGGAGAAGGCAAGGCGACACCGGAAAAGGCGAAGGAAGGCGAGGAAGAGCCAUCCAAAAAGAAGCGCACCCCCACUGCUCCGAAGAGGAAGAACCGGCGGCCGAGAAAUCGGCCACGCCGGCCGAAGGAUCAUCCAACGAAAGAAACGAACCCUCGGGUUCGGUGAUGCAGAGCGAGCAAGGGAGUCCGGCGAAGAGCAAGAGGAAAUCCGGCGAAAAAGAGGAAGAAAGUGAUCAACCCGACCCCGAUCCGAAUGAUAAAGGGAGAGCCGGCAUCAACAUCGAGGAGCAGGAAGAAGACAGCGAAGAGAGGGAUCGCUGUGCCCAAGAUCCCAGACAUGGACGCAUUGGAACCCUUGGGCAUAGUGGACAAGGUGAAAGAGUACUUCAAGAACAUUGGCUGGAAGGCGUUUCUGAAGUGGCCAGGGCACGCAUACGAGGAGGUGGUCAGGGAAGUGUUUGAAUCGGUACAGGUGGACAUCAACCAAGCCUGCGGACCUUUGGGCAUGAGCUUUUCCAUGAAGGGAGAAGUCAGAGAUAUGUCCGUAAAUGAACUCAACCUCAACUUGGGAAUGGCGGAACUGAAAGACCUGCAAAAGAAGGAAUACAAGGACGCAAAAAGCGGAAUCCCCACCUUUACUGCACAAGAGUGGGAUGUAUUGGGCAGAGAUCGGCGAUGGAGGCCAGUUCAGAACCCAGAAGGUAAAAGGGCAUAGGAUUCGCGACUCAGCCCUGAGGGUUUGCCAUCGCAUUCUCUCGUACUCCUUCUUCGGCAAAAUUGACAGCGGAAAUGCUAUGUCCAAAAAGGAUCUCUACAUCCUUUGGGCAAUGCACAGCGGGGUGAGGCUCAACUUUGGAGCCUUUCUGAUGAGCACAUCGAUUCCAUCAUCAGCAAGCCUAAUCAGAGGCUUUCCUGCAUUCAGUUCACCACCGCUUUUGCCAAGGCGAAUGAGAUUGAGAUCGAGGAGGGGAACACCAAGAUUGAGGCGGAGAAGCUGAACAUCGAAGCCCUGAUCCGCAUGAAGGAUGUCAGAAUGGAUCGGGGUGUGCCCAAUUUAUCAAUCCAGACGAGAGGGAAUUUUCAGCGGCCGAAGCCAAACCCCGCUGUGGGAAAAGGAAAAGAAAAGGUGGAGGAGUCAGAGUCAGAGGAGGAAGAGGAGAGUCAGCUGGACAGAAUCGAGUCCCUGAUUGUGGAGACCCAGAAAGCACUGGCAGCGACCCAGAAGGCCCUUCUGGCCUUCUUCAAGAUCAAGGGUUCAGGUACCCACCUGCACCUGCCCCUUGAAUUACCCUCCCUAGGAUGUUAGUUUUUUAGUUUGUUUUGUUGCGUCUUUGUGUUUUUGUUCUGUUUGUUUUGUUGCGUCUUUGUGUUUUUGUUCUGUUUGUUUUGUUUGCUUUUCCUUGACCCCCUCUACACACCCAUUUCCCAAAGCAAAGUGUGUGUGUGUGGGGGGGCCAGGACUCUGUUGUUGCUUUACCGGGUAAUCCUUGUUCUGCACCCUUUGCCUUAAGGCAAAGUGUGUGAGUGGGAGGGAAGACCCGGUAUCUUUUUAUGUUUUUAAAAGUUUUUGUGUCAAGCAUGCUGUACAAUCGAUGUUACUCAGUUGUGAUGAUUUGAAAGUGCAAUUUUGUGAGUGAGAUUAUGCAAACUUUGUGCCGUAUGUAGUUGAGGACGAUGGAUAGGGAAUUGGGCAUACCUUGUGAGGAUUUGAGCUUUUAAAAUUGUUACUUUAUGCCCAAAACAAUUCUUUCUUUCAUUGUGUGAAUUUUGACAUCUUGAUUUAGGGGUGAUGCUAGAACUUGCCUUGAUUCUUAGUCGAACCCUGUGUACAUAGUCUAGGUGUGUUAAAUGAUUUAGGCAAAUUCUUUCUUUAGCCCACUGAGCCAAACUGACCAACCCUACAUCUAUCACUUGCAACCCCUUUUGAGCUUAAUAAUUCUUUUGAAUUCACUUAUAAAUUUGCCUAGAUUUGAGCCGUCCCGGUCAAAACUGAACUUAAGGGCAAAAGAAAGGGAGAUAGUGUAGUGGAGCCUAUGGGCAGGACUAGUGCAAAAAUUGCAAAAUGGGACGUCUAAUCCCAAAAUAGAAAAAGUCCAUAAAAAGAAAAAGAAAUAAAAAAAGAGAAGGAGAAAAAGAAAAAAAAAAGAGAGGAAGAAUAAAGGGAAGAAUGUGCUUAAGCCCGCAAGAAUAGGCAAGGAUCAAAAGAAUCUGGGAAGUCUGUUGCCCAGAAUGAAGUUCAGAAUGACCUUAGCCUCGUACCAAAAAUUCUCACCUUAUGCCUUAAGCCACAUUACAACCCAUGAAAGACCUAAUGAGAUGCACCUAGGGCUUUGACUAAAGGGGAAGACAAUAGAAGAUAGGCA
rnacentral:lncRNA from 1 species